rnacentral:rRNA from 1 species
GACGAACGCUGGCGGCGUGCCUAAUACAUGCAAGUAGAACGCUGGAGGAGGAGCUUGCUUCUCUGGAUGAGUUGCGAACGGGUGAGUAACGCGUAGGUAACCUGCCUGGUAGCGGGGGAUAACUAUUGGAAACGAUAGCUAAUACCGCAUAAUAGUAGAUGUUGCAUGACAUUUGCUUAAAAGGUGCAAUUGCAUCACUACCAGAUGGACCUGCGUUGUAUUAGCUAGUUGGUGAGGUAACGGCUCACCAAGGCGACGAUACAUAGCCGACCUGAGAGGGUGAUCGGCCACACUGGGACUGAGACACGGCCCAGACUCCUACGGGAGGCAGCAGUAGGGAAUCUUCGGCAAUGGACGGAAGUCUGACCGAGCAACGCCGCGUGAGUGAAGAAGGUUUUCGGAUCGUAAAGCUCUGUUGUAAGAGAAGAACGAGUGUGAGAGUGGAAAGUUCACACUGUGACGGUAGCUUACCAGAAAGGGACGGCUAACUACGUG